rnacentral:rRNA from 1 species
AUGAUUUUGCUUUAUUCUAUUGAUCAGAUUUGCCAAGUCAUUUUUCCUUCGAGGUAUUUAGCAUUGCCGAAUUUAUAUAUUUACCUAAAUUUAAUCUUGACCCAAUUUGCUCUGGUCAAUACAUGCAUGAUGCCUUUUCUUUUCUAUAAACUGGAUGUAGGGUUAGUUUACUAUGCCGAUCCGAGCCAGCAUCAGGCGCGCCAAGCUCGCCGUCCACAUGCCUCCUCUUCGUCUGCAGCCGCAGUGCCAAAUCGCUCCCCAUCCGAGCAGAUGACUGUGCGUGAAGCACUGAGUUGCGCCCUUGAUGAGAUGUCUGGCAAUGCUUCUGUUUUCUUAAUGGGAGAAGAGGUACCACGAUACCACCUGGAAGACUAA